GGGGUCGUUCUGGAUUCGACAGAUGUUGUCGCGUAUGAGCUGCGAUUAGUGAGGCGCCACUAUAAACCGCCGCAGAUAAAUAUAACUGCUAAAAAUACACAAACUUACGCAGUAGCUGCCUAAACCACAGCCUGUGUGCCUGACUUUCGCUCGCCUAUGGCGAUUUGAUGGCCUAAUUUAGUAGGAUACGAUUUGACGGUGUCUUGACGUCAGAGAAGAGAUUAAGAGACUCGCAAGCUAACUUUGUUCGAGGAUUGUCUCGUUAGCUUGUUAAAUUUAGACAGUCCCUAUGAUUGUAGACGCUGAUAUAGCAAGGCAUUUGGACAGGGGUUCGACUCCCCUCGGCUCCAUUU
rfam:Lactococcus raffinolactis 4877 genomic scaffold, Scaffold1675